rfam:Oryza rufipogon genomic scaffold, chr12
AUCCCAUGAUGAGGACAGGCGACCACGUAUUCCUGAAGUUGUUCCCAUGCUUCAAGAAUGGACUCGUCCCUUGUCUGCUGGAAGCUGGAAAUUCUCCCCCGAAGAGC